rnacentral:lncRNA from 1 species
CUAUCUAACUUACGCCGGUUCCCACAACCAUUCCAUGGCCGGCUGAGCCACUUGCUGCAUUUCCUUGACUCUUCGUUUUUUACUUUUCAUAUCUUUUUUUUAGCUAUCUAUUUGGUGUAGCAGUCUGAAUCACAUUUUCUAAAAGAUCAACUCACUUUUCUUGCACUCGGUCAGUAAAGCCUGAAGCCGCUCCAUUCUAUUGCCGGUGUAUCAGAUUUAGGGAAAACCAACGAAACUACUAUCAGACUGAAGUAACUGAUCACUCUGAACAUCAAAGUGAAUAACAACAACAACAACAACAACAACAAAAGAAUAAUAUAGGAGUGAAUUGUACAUCCCACUCGAUCCUUUGCCAACGUCACCCUCAAAGCUGGAAUCUCCACACUAACAAGGUCCCCACUACCUACCAUCCAACUCAAAGACAAACAAUCAAGCGCAGCGCCUCCAUAUUUGUACUUGGCAACAUCCCUUCAAGAGACACAAGUCGGGAUUCCAGCAUGGCAUAAUCACGAAUGUAAAACGAGUUUCUAUUUUCUCUUUGAAUGUAUCCAACAGAGAUGUCGCGGCAGCCAUAGAUCGAAUUUCCUCGGGUAAUAACGUCCUCUUCCCCAGUAUGCCUAUCGACUCCUCCGAGGCUUUCCAGGCUAUCGGAAGAACAGUGCCGUGACCUGGUCUUUCUGAAAUCUAUGAAAGCGUCAACGCACUGCCUUCCCAGGCGGCUAUAUCUUUUCCAAUUUAGUAUAAACAAAGCAAGAACAAUAGCGGGAGACAAAUCGGCUAAAUACGUCGUCUCCAAUGGCGCAGCUCUAGUAUGGGUUUGACAGAGAGCGAGACUUGGUUCCGGUGCGUGACUUUUCAGAUGUCUCCAUCAGUGUAGAGACGAUCGAUCGAUCCAUGGAACCACAGAAGGUUGUGUCUAGUCCUGCCUAUUUACAUAGUAACUCGAGGUUGUCUCAGACACUCAAUUUGCAUUCAAAUUUGGUUGCAAGGAAUUAGCCUGGCAGGUAACUGGAUGCAUGCAUGCACUUGGCCCAGAAAGGAAAUGUUUCAUGUUUGUUACAAACUGACGGACCGCGAAGCCGACCAUCCAUGAUCAGACGACAUGCUACAAGUACAUGAUACCAGGAAUAGGCUACCACUAAGACGGUUAGUGCAUCAACAGCAAACUUCUUCCCAAAAGAGCAGGCAUAAACGCACGCCCUCGCCUGCACGUUACGUAAAACGUGAUGUCGGGUGGCAAGUAACUACUGGCUACUUGAGAGGUUACCCCGGAUCACCUUCAAAUUGGGGUUGCUGAACCACUGGACUGGGGGGGGGUGGCUUCAUUCUUUGUCAAUAGAAAGGUAUUGGGUACAAGCAUU